rnacentral:piRNA from 1 species
UCUCUUCACAGUAAUGGAAANCCUAAGAC